rnacentral:rRNA from 1 species
AGAGUUUGAUCAUGGCUCAGGAUGAACGCUAGCGGCAGGCUUAAUACAUGCAAGUCGUGGGGCAGCAGGGCUGUAGCAAUACAGUCGCUGGCGACCGGCAAACGGGUGCGGAACACGUACACAACCUUCCUCUAAGUGGGGGAUAGCCCGGGGAAACCCGGAUUAAUACCCCGUAACAUAAUGAAGUGGCAUCGCUUUAUUAUUAUAGCUCCGGCGCUUUGAGAUGGGUGUGCGGCUGAUUAGCUAGUUGGUAGGGUAAUGGCCUACCAAGGCGACGAUCAGUAUCCGGCCUGAGAGGGCGCACGGACACACUGGAACUGAAACACGGUCCAGACUCCUACGGGAGGCAGCAGUGGGGAAUUUUGCACAAUGGGGGAAACCCUGAUGCAGCAACGCCGCGUGGAGGAUGAAGUCCUUUGGGAUGUAAACUCCUUUCGACCGGGACGAUUAUGACGGUACCGGGAGAAGAAGCACCGGCUAACUCUGUGCCAGCAGCCGCGGUAAUACAGAGGGUGCAAGCGUUGUUCGGAAUUAUUGGGCGUAAAGGGCGCGUA